rnacentral:rRNA from 1 species
UAGGGAAUCUUCCACAAUGGGUGCAAACCUGAUGGAGCAAUGCCGCGUGAAUGAAGAAGGUCUUCGGAUCGUAAAGUUCUGUUAUUAGAGAAGAACAAGUCAAGGAGUAACUGUCUUGACUUUGACGGUACCUAACCAGAAAGUCACGGCUAACUACGUGCCAGCAGCCGCGGUAAUACGUAGGUGACAAGCGUUGUCCGGAAUUAUUGGGCGUAAAGGGAGCGCAGGCGGUUGGAAUAGUCUGAUGUGAAAGCCCACGGCUUAACCGUGGAAGGUCAUUGGAAACUGUCCAACUUGAAUGCAGAAGAGGUAAGUGGAAUUCCAUGUGUAGCGGUGAAAUGCGUAGAUAUAUGGAGGAACACCAGUGGCGAAGGCGACUUACUGGUCUGUGAUUGACGCU